UGGAGGCGCACCGGAGCGGCCGUGGCGCCCUCCGCGGGAGCCCGCAGCUCCCCGGGGCGCGCAUCCAGCCGCGGCUCCUUCGGCCCGGCACGCUGCGCCCGGGGGCUCGGCGGACCCCGCGUCGCCGCCGCUCCCGAGCUUGUGCGACGCGGGCUGGCCGGCGGGGCGGCGAGGGCCCGGCCCGCCUCCCCAGCGCCCGCCCCGGCUUCUCCCCCUGGCGGUGGAGCCUCGGCGGCCGCCGGCUACACUAAACGCGCUGGAGCCCGAGCCGAGCCGAGCCCGAGCCGCCGCCGCCGCCGCCGCCGCCGCCGCGCGCCGCUCCCAGGCUCCCUCCCAGCGCGCCGGCCGGGGUGUGGGGGGCGGCGGGCCGGAGGGACGAGGGCGGGCGAGAGGCGCGCGCUGGGAUUGGCGCCGAAGACCGGACCCUCAGCCGCUAGGGGAUGUUGCAGGUCUCUGCUCUUGUAAGACUUUGGCUGCAGAACCCAGGGCUGAACACCUCUAGAAAUGGAUCAAAAGACUCAACCAGCAAAUGGUGAAUCAAUGACAAGUCAAUAAUAAGGAGUCUGGAGAAGAUCAAAGGGGAGCUUGCAUAUGAGAUCUCUUUGGAAACCCUGAAGCACUCUGUGAAUGAAAAGGUGAGAAGGCAGCCAUCUGCAAGCCAAGAAGAGGGCCCUCACCAAGAACUGAAUCUACUGGUACCUUGAUCUUGGACUUCCCAGCCUCCAGAACUAUGAAAAAUAAAUGUCUGUUGUUUAAGCCA